UACGGGGGGGGCAAGCGUUGUUCGGAAUUACUGGGCGUAAAGGGCUCGUAGGCGGCCAACUAAGUCAGACGUGAAAUCCCUCGGCUUAACCGGGGAACUGCGUCUGAUACUGGAUGGCUUGAGUUCGGGAGAGGGAUGCGGAAUUCCAGGUGUAGCGGUGAAAUGCGUAGAUAUCUGGAGGAACACCGGUGGCGAAGGCGGGUUGCUGGGCUGACACUGACGCUGAGGCGCGAAGGCCAGGGGAGCGAACGGG
rnacentral:rRNA from 1 species